GGAUUGCCCUAGUAACGGCGAGUGAAGCGGCAACAGCUCAAAUUUGAAAUCUGGCUCUUUUAGAGUCCGAGUUGUAAUUUGCAGAGGGCGCUUUGGCUUUGGCAGCGGUCCAAGUUCCUUGGAACAGGACGUCACAGAGGGUGAGAAUCCCGUACGUGGUCGCUAGCUAUUGCCGUGUAAAGCCCCUUCGACGAGUCGAGUUGUUUGGGAAUGCAGCUCUAAAUGGGAGGUAAAUUUCUUCUAAAGCUAAAUACUGGCCAGAGACCGAUAGCGCACAAGUAGNGUGAUCGAAAGAUGAAAAGCACUUUGGAAAGAGAGUCAAACAGCACGUGAAAUUGUUGAAAGGGAAGCGCUUGCAGCCAGACUUGCUUGCAGUUGCUCACCCGGGCCUCUGUGCCGGUGCAUUCUUCUGCAGGCAGGCCAGCAUCAGUUUGGGCGGUGGGAUAAAGGUCUCUGUCA
rnacentral:rRNA from 1 species